ensembl:processed_transcript
GGGGACACUGGAGAAGGCAUCAGCUGAGGACACAGCUGUGGAGAAAGAACAGACUUUGCAGACAGAGAGAUAGAGAAGAAUGUUCCGGUAGCCAUCUGCAGGGGAAACUGUAUUUAUUAAUGGUUACUUUGUAUACUUCCUGUCUCAGUCGCUUUUUCAUUGUUGGGAAGAGACACCAUGGCCAGGGUGAGGCAAACAGAUCUGAAGUGACCCACCCGGGGUCCCAGAUUUAGAAAGGGGUGAAGACUGGUUCACAUGUAACCUCUGAGACACAAGAUCUUGCUCGCUUCUACUCCCUGGCUGCUAAGGUAACCUGGGAAGCCCCGAUUAGCAACUCUAAGAUUUCAAAGUGUGAACUAUAGAAAGAAAGCUAACUAAGCCGGACUGCAGUGAGAGGCUGUCUAGAGAACAGAAAGAUGGAAGACUGCCUGGAGGAAUGGCCUGCUAGGUGGACUCUCAGAGAGGGAGAUGGGGAGGACAGCUAGGGAGGCUUACGAUCGAUCCCCGUGCCUUGAGGGGUAUUCAUAGCAGCUUGAGAGUGGAUGAAAAAAAUCAAAGAACACAUGAUUGAACUAAAA